GGUUUGAUACUUUAAGUAUAAAAGGCGAUAUUUGCAUUUUCGUGAUGGGGUGCAAUUCCUCUCAAACCU
rnacentral:tRNA from 1 species